rnacentral:rRNA from 1 species
GGGUUGUGAGGUUAAGCGACUAAGCGUACACGGUGGAUGCCCUGGCAGUCAGAGGCGAUGAAGGACGUGCUAAUCUGCGAUAAGCGUCGGUAAGGUGAUAUGAACCGUUAUAACCGGCGAUUUCCGAAUGGGGAAACCCAGUGUGAUUCGUCACACUAUCAUUAACUGAAUCCAUAGGUUAAUGAGGCGAACCGGGGGAACUGAAACAUCUAAGUACCCCGAGGAAAAGAAAUCAACCGAGAUUCCCCCAGUAGCGGCGAGCGAACGGGGAGGAGCCCAGAGCCUGAAUCAGUGUGUGUGUUAGUGGAAGCGUCUGGAAAGGCGUGCGAUACAGGGUGACAGCCCCGUACACAAAAAUGCACAUGCUGUGAGCUCGAUGAGUAGGGCGGGACACGUGGUAUCCUGUCUGAAUAUGGGGGGACCAUCCUCCAAGGCUAAAUACUCCUGACUGACCGAUAGUGAACCAGUACCGUGAGGGAAAGGCGAAAAGAACCCCGGCGAGGGGAGUGAAAAAGAACCUGAAACCGUGUACGUACAAGCAGUGGGAGCCUCUUUAAUGGGGUGACUGCGUACCUUUUGUAUAAUGGGUCAGCGACUUAUAUUCUGUAGCAAGGUUAACCGAAUAGGGGAGCCGAAGGGAAACCGAGUCUUAACUGGGCGUUAAGUUGCAGGGUAUAGACCCGAAACCCGGUGAUCUAGCCAUGGGCAGGUUGAAGGUUGGGUAACACUAACUGGAGGACCGAACCGACUAAUGUUGAAAAAUUAGCGGAUGACUUGUGGCUGGGGGUGAAAGGCCAAUCAAACCGGGAGAUAGCUGGUUCUCCCCGAAAGCUAUUUAGGUAGCGCCUCGUGAAUUCAUCUCCGGGGGUAGAGCACUGUUUCGGCAAGGGGGUCAUCCCGACUUACCAACCCGAUGCAAACUGCGAAUACCGGAGAAUGUUAUCACGGGAGACACACGGCGGGUGCUAACGUCCGUCGUGAAGAGGGAAACAACCCAGACCGCCAGCUAAGGUCCCAAAGUCAUGGUUAAGUGGGAAACGAUGUGGGAAGGCCCAGACAGCCAGGAUGUUGGCUUAGAAGCAGCCAUCAUUUAAAGAAAGCGUAAUAGCUCACUGGUCGAGUCGGCCUGCGCGGAAGAUGUAACGGGGCUAAACCAUGCACCGAAGCUGCGGCAGCGACACUAUGUGUUGUUGGGUAGGGGAGCGUUCUGUAAGCCGUUGAAGGUGUGCUGUGAGGCAUGCUGGAGGUAUCAGAAGUGCGAAUGCUGACAUAAGUAACGAUAAAGCGGGUGAAAAGCCCGCUCGCCGGAAGACCAAGGGUUCCUGUCCAACGUUAAUCGGGGCAGGGUGAGUCGACCCCUAAGGCGAGGCCGAAAGGCGUAGUCGAUGGGAAACAGGUUAAUAUUCCUGUACUUGGUGUUACUGCGAAGGGGGGACGGAGAAGGCUAUGUUGGCCGGGCGACGGUUGUCCCGGUUUAAGCGUGUAGGCUGAUUUUCCAGGCAAAUCCGGAGAAUCAAGGCUGAGGCGUGAUGACGAGGCACUACGGUGCUGAAGCAACAAAUGCCCUGCUUCCAGGAAAAGCCUCUAAGCAUCAGGUAACAUCAAAUCGUACCCCAAACCGACACAGGUGGUCAGGUAGAGAAUACCAAGGCGCUUGAGAGAACUCGGGUGAAGGAACUAGGCAAAAUGGUGCCGUAACUUCGGGAGAAGGCACGCUGAUAUGUAGGUGAAGCGACUUGCUCGUGGAGCUGAAAUCAGUCGAAGAUACCAGCUGGCUGCAACUGUUUAUUAAAAACACAGCACUGUGCAAACACGAAAGUGGACGUAUACGGUGUGACGCCUGCCCGGUGCCGGAAGGUUAAUUGAUGGGGUCAGCCGCAAGGCGAAGCUCUUGAUCGAAGCCCCGGUAAACGGCGGCCGUAACUAUAACGGUCCUAAGGUAGCGAAAUUCCUUGUCGGGUAAGUUCCGACCUGCACGAAUGGCGUAAUGAUGGCCAGGCUGUCUCCACCCGAGACUCAGUGAAAUUGAACUCGCUGUGAAGAUGCAGUGUACCCGCGGCAAGACGGAAAGACCCCGUGAACCUUUACUAUAGCUUGACACUGAACAUUGAGCCUUGAUGUGUAGGAUAGGUGGGAGGCUUUGAAGUGUGGACGCCAGUCUGCAUGGAGCCGACCUUGAAAUACCACCCUUUAAUGUUUGAUGUUCUAAC